GAUGAACGCUGGCGGCGUGCCUAAUACAUGCAAGUCGAGCGAACAGAUGAGGAGCUUGCUCCUCUGACGUUAGCGGCGGACGGGUGAGUAACACGUGGAUAACCUACCUAUAAGACUGGGAUAACUUCGGGAAACCGGAGCUAAUACCGGAUAAUAUAUUGAACCGCAUGGUUCAAUAGUGAAAGAGGGUUUUGCUGUCACUUAUAGAUGGAUCCGCGCCGCAUUAGCUAGUUGGUAAGGUAACGGCUUACCAAGGCAACGAUGCGUAGCCGACCUGAGAGGGUGAUCGGCCACACUGGAACUGAGACACGGUCCAGACUCCUACGGGAGGCAGCAGUAGGGAAUCUUCCGCAAUGGGCGAACGCCUGACGGAGCAACGCCGCGUGAGUGAUGAAGGUCUUCGGAUCGUAAAACUCUGUUAUUAGGGAAGAACAAAUGUGUAAGUAACUAUGCACGUCUUGACGGUACCUAAUCAGAAAGCCACGGCUAACUACGUG
rnacentral:rRNA from 1 species